CAAGGAAUAGUUUAAAUAGAAUAUCAGCUUUGGGUGUUGAUGGUGGGGCUUCAGCCUUUUCCUUGA
rnacentral:tRNA from 1 species